rnacentral:miRNA from 14 species
AAAAUAUUGUAUCAUCAUGGUAAACUUUAAGAGAAUAAAAUAUGCACACACACACACACACACACACACACAUACAUAUGUGUGUGUGUGUGUGUGUAGA